CCUACGGGAGGCAGCAGUGAGGAAUAUUGGUCAAUGGACGAGAGUCUGAACCAGCCAAGUAGCGUGAAGGAUGACUGCCCUAUGGGUUGUAAACUUCUUUUAUAUGGGAAUAAAACGUUCCACGUGUGGGAUUUUGUAUGUACCAUAUGAAUAAGGAUCGGCUAACCCCGUGCCAGCAGCCGCGGUAAUACGGAGGAUCCGAGCGUUAUCCGGAUUUAUUGGGUUUAAAGGGAGCGUAGGUGGAUUGUUAAGUCAGUUGUGAAAUUUUGGGGCUCAACCGUAGAAUUGCAGUUGAAACUGGCAGUCUUGAGUACAGUAGAGGUGGGCGGAAUUCGUGGUGUAGCGGUGAAAUGCUUAGAUAUCACGAAGAACUCCGAUGGCGAAGGCAGCUCACUGGACUGCAACUGACGCUGAGGCUCGAAAGUGUGGGUAUCAAACAGGAUUAGAUACCCCUGUAGUC
rnacentral:rRNA from 1 species